AGCUCCAAUAGCGUAUAUUAAAGUUGUUGCAGUUAAAAAGCUCGUAGUCGAACUUCAGGCCCUGUUCUUCGGUCCGCCUCACGGCGAGUACUGUCGAACGCGGUCUUACCUCUUGGUGAGCCCGCAUGCCUUUACUGGUGUGCGGAGGAACCAGGACUUUUACCUUGAGAAAAUUAGAGUGUUCAAAGCAGGCUUGCGCCCGAAUACAUUAGCAUGGAAUAAUAGAAUAGGACGUGCGUCUCUAUUUUGUUGGUUUCUAGUGACGCGGUAAUGAUUAAUAGGGACAGUUGGGGGCAUUUGUAUUCGGUUGCUAGAGGUGAAAUUCUUGGAUUUACCGAAGACAAACUUCUGCGAAAGCAUUUGCCAAGGAUGUUUUCA
rnacentral:rRNA from 1 species